AUUAAACGCUGGCGGCAUGCCUUACACAUGCAAGUCGAACGGCAGCACGGGGGCAACCCUGGUGGCGAGUGGCGAACGGGUGAGUAAAGCAUCGGAACGUGCCCUGGAGUGGGGGGAUAACGUAGCGAAAGUUACGCUAAUACCGCAUAUUCUGUGAGCAGGAAAGCAGGGGGAUCGCAAGACCUUGCGCUCUGGGAGCGGCCGAUGUCGGAUUAGCUAGUUGGUGGGGUAAAGGCCUACCAAGGCGACGAUCCGUAGCGGGUCUGAGAGGAUGAUCCGCCACACUGGGACUGAGACACGGCCCAGACUCCUACGGGAGGCAGCAGUGGGGAAUUUUGGGACAAUGGGCGAAAGCCUGAUCCAGCCAUGCCGCGUGAGUGAAGAAGGCCUUC
rnacentral:rRNA from 1 species